rnacentral:rRNA from 1 species
AUGAGUCGACCUGAUAGGAUCAACAUCCCCGACGGCAAGUUCUACCUUGGAGAUGCUGGCUAUGCAUGUCGGCGGGGUAUUCUUCCACCCUUCAGGAAAAGAAGGUACCAUCUCAACAAGUUCUCUGGUAGGAACUAUCCUAGGACUGCACAGGAGCUGUUUAAUCUCAGACACUCCAGCCUUAGAGUAACUGUUGAGAGGGCAUUUGGAGCUGUGAAGAAUAGGUUUAAGAUCCUGAAUCAGAAGCCAUUCCACCCAUACUCCACUCAGGUUAAGCUAGUUCUUGCUUGUUGCAUUCUGCAUAACUGGAUCCUCCAGUGGGGCUUUGAUGAACACGUGCCUGAGGAGAAAGAUGUCGAGCCUAACGAUGUUGUUAGCUCCGGCCAUGGUGUGGAGGCAUUUGACAAUGACGCUUGGAAGAACAAAAGGUUGGAGUGGGCAGAGGCGAUGUGGCUUAACAGAGGUCAGUGCAGGGUUUGA